rnacentral:rRNA from 1 species
ACGGGAGGCAGCAGUGGGGAAUAUUGGGCAAUGGGCGAAAGCCUGACCUAGCAACGCCGCGUGAAGGAAGAAGGCCUUCGGGUUGUAAACUUCUUUUACCAGGGACGAAGGACGUGACGGUACCUGGAGAAAAAGCAACGGCUAACUACGUGCCAGCAGCCGCGGUAAUACGUAGGUUGCAAGCGUUGUCCGGAUUUACUGGGUGUAAAGGGCGUGUAGGCGGAGCUGCAAGUCAGAUGUGAAAUCCCGGGGCUCAACCCCGGAACUGCAUUUGAAACUGUAGCCCUUGAGUAUCGGAGAGGCAAGCGGAAUUCCUAGUGUAGCGGUGAAAUGCGUAGAUAUUGGGAGGAACACCAGUGGCGAAGGCGGCCUGCUGGGCUUUAACUGACGCUGAGGCACGAAAGUAUGGGGAGCAAACAGGAUUAGAUACCCUGGUA